UUUACCGGCUAAUACCGCAUACGAUCUACGGAUGAAAGCGGGGGACUCGCAAGAGCCUCGCGCAUUGGAGCGCCGAUAUCAGAUUAGGUAGUUGGUGGGGUAAAGGCUGACCCAAGGCGACGAUCGGUAGCUGGUCCUGAGAGGAUGAUCAGCCACACUGGAACUGAGACACGGUCCAGACUCCUACGGGAGGCAGCAGUGGGGAAUAUUGGACAAUGGGCGCAAGCCUGAUCCAGCAAUUCCGCGUGGGUGAAGAAGGUCUUCGGAUUGUAAAGCCCUUUCGUUGGGGACGAUGAUGACGGUACCCAAAGAAGAAGCCCCGGCUAACUUCGUG
rnacentral:rRNA from 1 species